UAAUGGGAAUUGCUGAUGAGAUGAUACAAUUUUGUAAAAUUAAACUCGAAGAAGAACUACCUAGAGAUGAUUAUAAAGAAUUUCUCGAACUAAUAAUAAUAUUUUUAGGUGGUUUGCCACCUAAAGGUAUACACUUUAAAACACCAGGUGCUUGUCAUAUCGCACGUUGGAUGGCCAAAUCAUUGUAUUGUUUAAAACUAUUUUUAUUCCGACACCAGUUUAAAAUUACUCAACGCGAAGAUAAAUGUUUAAAACGAAUCUGCUGUUUUAUUAUAAAGUGUUACGCAGAAUCGUGGUUUUUAUGUUCAAAUGCUCCUACGUCCACAAUGAAUGAUAUUGGGUUUUUAAAAAAAUUGUAUUUUUAUAAAAAUGACGAUAAAGAAGUUGCUGAAAAAGCAAUUAUGAAAUUUAUUAAUCAUUUGUGGUACUUGAGUGAAGAGUGUGCGGCUUUUUCAAUUUUUGAUGAAAGGUUAAGUAAUGAUACAAGAAGAAAAAUGGCUGAAAAAAUUAUGCAUGGUACUCCUGAAAAAGAAUCGCAAAAAAAGUUCAUCCUCAAAUUUGAAGAUUUACAACACUUUCUUAACAAAGAAUUACCAUUAGAUAUUCUAGGGAAUAAUUCGAAAAACAUAUUUGAAAAAUUUUAAAUGUCUACUGAUUUUUUGAAAGUUCAGUCAGACAAAUGGAACGAACAUGAAGGAUACAUUGAAGGAAAAAGAGUGGUAGAAUCAAUAAAAGUAGUCAACGAUAUGGCAGAACGAGGGGUCAAACUUAUGACGGAUUUCAAUGAAAAGUUCACGAAAAAUGAAGAACAAAAUCAAUUUGUUUUGCAAGUAGUUCAAGAUUAUAGAAAAAAGUUUCCUGGAUGUAGUAAAGAUACCCUGAAAGAAUCAUAUAAUUGAAAAUUCAUUUUUAC